CUUGGUCAAUUAGAGGAAGUAAAAGUCGUAACAAGGUCUCCGUUGGUGAACCAGCGGAGGGAUCAUUACCGAGUUUACAACUCCCAAACCCCUGUGAACAUACCACUUGUUGCCUCGGCGGAUCAGCCCGCUCCCGGUAAAACGGGACGGCCCGCCAGAGGACCCCUAAACUCUGUUUCUAUAUGUAACUUCUGAGUAAAACCAUAAAUAAAUCAAAACUUUCAACAACGGAUCUCUUGGUUCUGGCAUCGAUGAAGAACGCAGCAAAAUGCGAUAAGUAAUGUGAAUUGCAGAAUUCAGUGAAUCAUCGAAUCUUUGAACGCACAUUGCGCCCGCCAGUAUUCUGGCGGGCAUGCCUGUUCGAGCGUCAUUUCAACCCUCAAGCACAGCUUGGUGUUGGGACUCGCGUUAAUUCGCGUUCCUCAAAUUGAUUGGCGGUCACGUCGAGCUUCCAUAGCGUAGUAGUAAAACCCUCGUUACUGGUAAUCGUCGCGGCCACGCCGUUAAACCCCAACUUCUGAAUGUUGACCUCGGAUCAGGUAGGAAUACCCGCUGAACUUAAGCAUAUC
rnacentral:rRNA from 1 species